rnacentral:rRNA from 1 species
CAUGGCUCAGAACGAACGCUGGUGGCGUGUCUAUACAUGCAAGUCGAGCGAGGCAGCAAUGCCGAGCGGCGAACGGGUGAGUAACGCGUAAGCAAUCUGCCCCGUAUCAGGAAAUACCCGUGCCAACGCGCGGUUAAUGUCCAGGAGAGUGGGAGCCUGCAUGGGCUCUUGACUAGAGAUUUAUCGGUACGGGAUGAGCUUGCGUCCGAUUAGCUAGUUGGCGGGCAACGGCCCACCAAGGCGACGAUCGGUAGCCGGCCUGAGAGGGUGGUCGGCCACAUUGGGACUGAGAUACGGCCCAGACUCCUACGGGAGGCAGCAGUAGGGAAUAUUGCACAAUGGGGGAAACCCUGAUGCAGCAACGCCACGUGUGGGAAGAAGCAUUUCGGUGUGUAAACCACUGUCAUGAGGGAAUAAGGCCUAUUUUCGGAUAGGAUUGAAUGUACCUUGAGAGGAAGCACCGGCAAACUUCGUGCCAGCCGCCGC